GAGUUUGAUCCUGGCUCAGGACGAACGCUGGCGGCGUGCCUAACACAUGCAAGUCGAACGGAGAUAUUCGCUGAUGAAGUACUUCGGUAAUGAUUCUUGAAUAUCUUAGUGGCGGACGGGUGAGUAACGCGUGAGCAACCUGCCUUUCAGAGGGGGAUAACGUUCGGAAACGAACGCUAAUACCGCAUGACAUUGUUGAGUCGCAUGACAUGACAAUCAAAGGAGCGAUCCGCUGAAAGAUGGGCUCGCGUCCGAUUAGGUAGUUGGUGGGGCAACGGCCCACCAAGCCGACGAUCGGUAGCCGGACUGAGAGGUUGAACGGCCACAUUGGGACUGAGACACGGCCCAGACUCCUACGGGAGGCAGCAGUGAGGGAUAUUGGUCAAUGGGGGAAACCCUGAACCAGCAACGCCGCGUGAGGGAAGACGGUUUUCGGAUUGUAAACCUCUGUCCUCUGUGAAG
rnacentral:rRNA from 1 species